UCUUGUUUUGAUACCAAGGAGGAUACAUAGAAUUUGCUGGAGUGGAGGGGGCGCUCGUCGAGUGAAGCCGGCCGUCGCCAUUUUGCCAGCGGCAGAAAGCGCGCUCCACGCCGUCGCGCGCUGCUGUUUGCGUUCGUUAUUUGACGCUGUGGGCAUGUAAACACCAAUGUUUUGACGAUGGUUGCCUGUUGUGCCGCUUAUGGAUGUGCAAACAGGCUGAAGAAAGGUUGUGGCCUCCCAUUCUGCCCGUAAGUGCGCGAAAACGUCUUCGAUUGAGCCAU
rnacentral:lncRNA from 1 species